rnacentral:rRNA from 1 species
UACGGAGGGGGCUAGCGUUGUUCGGAAUUACUGGGCGUAAAGCGCACGUAGGCGGCUUUGUAAGUUAGAGGUGAAAGCCCAGGGCUCAACCCUGGAAUUGCCUUUAAGACUGCAACGCUUGAAUCAUGGAGAGGUGAGUGGAAUUCCGAGUGUAGAGGUGAAAUUCGUAGAUAUUCGGAAGAACACCAGUGGCGAAGGCGACUCACUGGACAUGUAUUGACGCUGAGGUGCGAAAGCGUGGGGAGCAAACAGG